CGAUAUUCCCUGUCCUACUGUAAACUAAGUAAAUUUCAAUGAGAAGAGAAGUCGGCUGCACCAGGUUACUUCCUGGUUGCUCUAGCGGGAGUGACGCGAACUGAAGCUAUUCGCGACAAGUGACGCACCGUAUGCUCACUCAUCAAGAUGCGCAAUUACUGGCGCACGCGCGGGCAGCGCUCGGUUUCAGAAAACACGUGACGCGACCGCUCCCAGGAUAUUGUCAGAGAUAGAGAUCAGGCCCAGCCCACCGCUCAGACGGAAAACAACAUGUCACUGAUGCUUUUCAUUCCUCUCCGUGUUUAAGUGAAAUCUCCCGUGAGCGAAGAACAGAAGCAGAAAGAGUGACUGGUUGCUCUCUAAGCCGCACACGCUCCUGCUCACCUGCCUGUGCAGGUAGCUCUGCAGCUACCCAACGGGCAUGGACCUGUCACUGUAUCUGGGCUGACCAUAAGAGGAACUCACCUGUCUGACCGUAAGAGGAGCUCACCUGUCUGACCGUAAGAGGAGCUCACCUGUCUGACCGAUGAUUUGUGCACUGCCCAGCUUGUCUGGGGAAGGCGUCUCCAUGGAAACCGGCACUGGGUCCUGGGCGGAAUGUUCCCCGGGCUCCCCCGACACAUUCCGCAGCAGCCUGGCCUUUUCAUGUUCCAGAUCCGCUCAAUUAUCCCGAAUCCUCCCAGCAUUCCAGGAGUCAGGAAUUCCGCCACAUUAAAAAAAAAAAAACCUUUUCCAUGGGGCUCGUUUCUGUCCUAUAAGCAGAUCGUUGGGUUAAAUAAAUACAAACUGCUGAUGCUGGUUAUUAGGUGGGUUAUUAAAAACUCCAAGGCUGGAGUUAAACCUGCAGACACUGGGGCCCUCCAGGACUGGAGUUAAACCUGCAGACACUGCGGCCCUCCAGGACUGGAGUUAAACCUGCAGACACUGCGGCCCUCCAGGACUGGAGUUAAACCUGCAGACACUGCGGCCCUCCAGGCCCGGAGUUAACCUUAAGACACUGUGGCCCUCCAGGCUUCCCCACAUGUAAAUAUGUUGACUACUUUAUACACAGGACCAUUUGAUAGGCCAACUGACAAAGUAGAAGGAACAACACGCGACCUUUCAUCGUAAAACUUCAUAUAUUAUAUCGCAGAACAACUCAAGUUUGCCCCAACUUGCUAGUCAGGCAUUGCGUCCAUGAUGUAUGGUGUUAUGACGGUCAUAGGACGAAACACACAGACCUCGGGUCUCUCGACACGUGCUAACAAAGUCCUCCAUUCGCCUCGAGGAUAAAAGGUAAUAAAUAUCAUCCUGCGCCACGCGCUCAGCAACAUAUUUAUCAGAAAAGCCCCUCGUUCUGGCCACAAUACAAACGCGGUAUUUGAAUAAGUAAGCUAAAUGUCAUUUAAAAAUAUCACAUUAAAUAUACUGACUUCAUGAUCUCCUGUUGGCUAUGCCCAACGUUUCACCGUUACUUGGGUAUUCGCUGUUCAGUCUUCCACAAAAUAAUUUGAGGUCUUGCUUUCACCCACCAGUAGUCUCAAAAUAAAUACCCUAAACAAUAUGGGACCAAUACACACACCACCAGCGGAGGCGCAGACGUCCUUAUGAUUUAAUAUUUAAUAUCUGUAAUGAUACGUGUGCUCACUGCUCGGUCGGUUUGCAUGGCCUCGUUUCUGUGUUCCAUGGUUUCUCUGAAAAAUUAAUCUCUCAUUUCAUCUCCCUGCGAAUGAACAACGGUCUCGCUGGACUAACAACUUGCAUGGGAAGAUGGUUGAUUGUGAACUCACCCGUUUAAUAUUUCAAUAAAAAUUUAGCUAUCGCCAAGGAGGUCUAUGGUGUGGGCGGGCUUAAAAAUCAGGUGGCCUUGAG